UCCCGAGUGGCUCAGAGGGUAAAGCGUCUGCCUGCAAUGCGGGAGACCUGGGUUCGAUCCCUGGGUCAGGAA
rnacentral:tRNA from 1 species